rnacentral:lncRNA from 1 species
AUGAACAUAACUACAUCUGACUAUAGUUGAUGACUACAUAUAGUCAUAUCUAGUCAUGUGCAGUAACAAUAAUGCACAUAACUACUUGUGACUAUAGUUCACCGAAGUAAAUUUAUCAAUAAAGUGUUUUUCAUUGUUUUUUUGUAUUUUUCAUGUAAUGUAAUUCGAAUUUUGCAGGUAUUUUUUGAGUUCACCAAAGUAUUUUUUGUACAGCCAUCAUCGAAUUUUGCAGUUAUUUUUUGAGUUUUGGUUUUAAUUUUUUUUCUUUUUUUUUCUUGUGAAGCAGUGAGUUUAAUUUUAGGAGUUGACUUGUACAUAAAACGUGAUUGUUGUGGCAAGAAAUAUAAUAAAAAAAAACUCGAAACUUGUUCCUGGUGGUGGUGCGACAAAACUGACUGUUCAUCCAUUGAAUGCAUAGACAAGGUAAUGAAUUUUAAUGUGCUUCUUAAUAUAUUGAAUCACUGUUUAUUGGUCCUCAAAUGAUUUGUUUACUUUUGUUUUUAUACUUGGGAGUAUAUGUAGAUUCGUGAUGAGAAUAUUUUGUUGGUAAUAUGAUAUUCAUAUUUUAUUUAUCG